rnacentral:rRNA from 1 species
ACUCCUACGGGAGGCAGCAGUGGGGAAUUUUGCGCAAUGGGCGAAAGCCUGACGCAGCAACGCCGCGUGGGUGAUGAAGGUCUUCGGACUGUAAAACCCUGUCGUCAGGGACGAAGAUGUAUACGUUAAUAGCGUGUGCAUUUGACGGUACCUGGAGAGGAAGCCCCGGCUAACUCUGUGCCAGCAGCCGCGGUAAUACAGAGGGGGCAAGCGUUAUUCGGAAUUAUUGGGCGUAAAGGGCGCGUAGGCGGUUUUUUAAGUCAGAUGUGUAAUCCCCGAGCUUAACUUGGGAACUGCAUCUGAGACUGGAAGGCUAGAGUACUGGAGAGGGUGGUGGAAUUCCUCGUGUAGCGGUGAAAUGCGUAGAGAUGAGGAGGAACACCAGUGGCGAAGGCGGCCACCUGGACAGUAACUGACGCUGAGGCGCGAAAGUGUGGGUAGCAAACAGGAUUAGAUACCCUGGUAGUCCACGCUGUAAACGAUGAACACUUGGUGUGGAGGGAGUUGACCCCUUCCGUGCCGGAGCUAACGCGUUAAGUGUUCCGCCUGGGGAGUACGGUCGCAAGGCUGAAACUCAAAUGAAUUGACGG